GACGAACGCUGGCGGCGUGCUUAACACAUGCAAGUCGAACGGAAAGGCCCUGCUUUUGUGGGGUGCUCGAGUGGCGAACGGGUGAGUAACACGUGAGUAACCUGCCCUUGACUUUGGGAUAACUUCGGGAAACUGGGGCUAAUACCGGAUAGGAGCUCCUGCUGCAUGGUGGGGGUUGGAAAGUUUCGGCGGUUGGGGAUGGACUCGCGGCUUAUCAGCUUGUUGGUGGGGUAGUGGCUUACCAAGGCUUUGACGGGUAGCCGGCCUGAGAGGGUGACCGGCCACAUUGGGACUGCGAUACGGACCAGACUCCUACGGGAGGCAGCAGGGGGGAAUAUUGCCCAAUGGGCGGAAGCCUGAUGCAACAGCGCCGCGUGCGGGAUGACGGCUUUCGGGUUGUAAACCGCUGUCGCCUGUGACGAAGCGUGAGUGACGGUAAUGGGUAAAGAAGCACCGGCUAACUACGUG
rnacentral:rRNA from 1 species